AUUGAACGCUGGCGGCAUGCCUUACACAUGCAAGUCGAACGGCAGCGCGGGGCAACCUGGCGGCGAGUGGCGAACGGGUGAGUAAUAUAUCGGAACAUACCCUAGAGUGGGGGAUAACGUAGCGAAAGUUACGCUAAUACCGCAUACGCACUAAGGUGGAAAGUGGGGGAUUCGCAAGAACCUCAUGCUCAUGGAGUGGCCGAUAUCUGAUUAGCUAGUUGGUGAGGUAAAGGGCUCACCAAGGCAACGAUCAGUAGCUGGUUUGAGAGAACGACCAGCCACACUGGAACUGAGACACGGUCCAGACUCCUACGGAGGCAGCAGUGGGGAAUUUUUGGACAAUGGGGGCAACCCUGAUCCAACAAUGCCGCGUGAGUGAAGAAGG
rnacentral:rRNA from 1 species